UACGUAGGGGGCAAGCGUUGUCCGGAUUUAUUGGGCGUAAAGAGCGUGUAGGCGGCCGCACAGGUCCGUUGUGAAAACUGGAGGCUUAACCUUCAGACGUCGAUGGAAACCGUGCGGCUAGAGUCCGGAAGAGGAGUGUGGAAUUCCUGGUGUAGCGGUGAAAUGCGUAGAUAUCUGGAGGAACACCGGUGGCGAAGGCGGCAUCCUGGACCGGUAUUGACGCUGAGGCGCGAAAGCCAGGGGAGCAAACGGG
rnacentral:rRNA from 1 species